AGUCACUGACAUUAGAUACCCCUGUAGUCCCAGCCGUAAACAAUGUGCGUUAGGUGUGUCGGUAACCACGCGUUACUGAUGCGCCGAAGAGAAAUCGUGAAACGCACCACCUGGGAAGUACGGUCGCAAGGCUGAAACUUAAAGGAAUUGGCGGGGAGCACCGCAACGGGAGGAGCGUGCGGUUUAAUUGGAUUCAACGCCGGACAUCUCACCGGAUAAGACAGCUGAAUGAUUGUCAAUCUGAAGGUUUUACAUGACUAGCUG
rnacentral:rRNA from 1 species